GUUCAUAUCGCGUUGAAACACCGGUUCUCGUCCGAUCACCAAAGUUAAGCAACGUUAAACCUGGUCAUUGUCUAGAUGGGUGACCGCUCGCGAAUACGAAGUGCUGCAAG